AGUGAACGCUGGCGGUAGGCCUAACACAUGCAAGUCGAACGGCAGCACAAUAAGCUUUCGCCUCUACCGGUGGCGACUGGCGGACGGGUGACGCAUACAUCGCCAUCUACUUUUUCUUGGGGAACUACGGAGGAAAACUGCCGCUAAUAGCGCAUACGAUCUACGGCAUAGAGCAAGGGUUCAUCGGAGCUUUCCCGAUUGUAUUAGCCGGUGUCGGAUUAGCUAGUUGGCGAGGUAAAGUCCCACCAAGGCGACGAUCCGUAGCUGAUCUGAGAGGAUGAUCAGCCACACUGGAACUGAGACACGGUCCAGACUCCUACGGGAGGCAGCAGUGGGGAAUAUUGGGCAAUGGGCGCAAGCCUGAUCCAGCAAUACCGCGUGAGUGAAGAAGGCCUUCGGAUUGUAAAGCCCUUUUGUUGGGAAAGAAAAGCAGCAGAAUAAAACCCGGAUGUUCUGACGGUACCCAAAGAGAAAGCCCCGGCUAACUUCGUG
rnacentral:rRNA from 1 species